AUUGACCGCUGGCGGCAGGCCUAACACAUGCAAGUCGGGCGAGCGGCGGACGGGUGAGAAAUGUAAGGGAAUCUGCCUGAUGGAGGGGGAUAACUACGGGAACCGGAAGCUAAUACCGCAUACCAUCACAUGAACCCAUAUUGGAUUAGCUAGUAGGCGAGGUAAAGGCUUACCCAGGCGACGAUCACUAGCUGGCCUGAGAGGAUGAUCAGCCACACUGGAACUGGGACACGGCCCAGACUCCUACGGGAGGCAGCAGUGGGGAAUAUUGGGCAAUGGGCGCAAGCCUGAUGCAGCCAUACCGCGUGGGUGAAGAAGGCCUUCGGGUUGUAAAGUCCUUUCGGUCGGGAAGCGUUACCCAAAGAAUAAGCACCGGCUAACUCCGUGCCAGCAGCCGCGGUAAUAC
rnacentral:rRNA from 1 species